UACGAAGGGGGCUAGCGUUGCUCGGAAUCACUGGGCGUAAAGGGUGCGUAGGCGGGUUUUUAAGUCAGGGGUGAAAUCCUGGAGCUCAACUCCAGAACUGCCUUUGAUACUGAAGAUCUUGAGUCCUGGAGAGGUGAGUGGAACUGCGAGUGUAGAGGUGAAAUUCGUAGAUAUUCGCAAGAACACCAGUGGCGAAGGCGGCUCACUGGCCCGGUACUGACGCUGAGGCACGAAAGCGUGGGGAGCAAACAGG
rnacentral:rRNA from 1 species